CACAUCUGCCUCAGCGUCGGUG
rnacentral:rRNA from 1 species